rnacentral:rRNA from 1 species
UACGUAGGGGGCAGGCGUUGUCCGGAUUUAUUGGGCGUAAAGAGCGUGUAGGCGGCCAGGUAGGUCGGUUGUGAAAACUGGAGGCUCAACCUUCAGAGGUCGACCGAAACCAUCUGGCUAGAGUCCGGGAGAGGAGAGUGGAAUUCCUGGUGUAGCGGUGAAAUGCGCAGAUAUCAGGAAGAACACCCGUGGCGAAAGCGGCUCUCUGGAACGGUACUGACGCUGAGGAGCGAAAGCGUGGGGAGCAAACAGG